rnacentral:rRNA from 1 species
CCUACGGGCGGCAGCAGUGGGGAAUAUUGCACAAUGGGGGAAACCCUGAUGCAGCGACGCCGCGUGAGUGAAGAAGUAUCUCGGUACGUAAAGCUCUAUCAGCAGGGAAGAAAAUGACGGUACCUGCCUAAGAAGCCCCGGCUAACUACGUGCCAGCAGCCGCGGUAAUACGUAGGGGGCAAGCGUUAUCCGGAUUUACUGGGUGUAAAGGGAGCGUAGACGGCAUCACAAGUCUGGAGUGAAAUCACGGGGCUUAACCCCGGAACUGCUUUGGAAACUGGGCGGCUGGAGUGCAGGAGGGGUAAGCGGAAUUCGUGGUGUAGCGGUGAAAUGCGUAGAUAUUAGGAGGAACACCGGUGGCGAAGGCGGCUUACUGGACUGCAACUGACGUUGAGGCUCGAAAGCGUGGGGAGCAAACAGGAUUAGAUACCCUUGUAGUC